UGGGAUAAGCGUUGGAAACGACGUCUAAUACCGGAUACGACCCUCGGAGGCAUCUCCUGGGGGUGGAAAGAAUUUUGGUCAAGGAUGAGCUCGCGGCCUAUCAGCUUGUUGGUGAGGUAAUGGCUCACCAAGGCGACGACGGGUAGCCGGCCUGAGAGGGUGACCGGCCACACUGGGACUGAGACACGGCCCAGACUCCUACGGGAGGCAGCAGUGGGGAAUAUUGCACAAUGGGCGAAAGCCUGAUGCAGCAACGCCGCGUGAGGGACGACGGCCUUCGGGUUGUAAACCUCUUUUAGUAGGGAAGAAGCGAAAGUGACGGUACCUGCAGAAAAAGCACCGGCUAACUACGUGCCAGCAGCCGCGGUAAUACAUAGGGUGCAAGCGUUGUCCGGAAUUAUUGGGCGUAAAGAGCUCGUAGGCGGUUUGUCGCGUCUGCUGUGAAAACCCGAGGCUCAACCUCGGGCCUGCAGUGGGUACGGGCAGACUAGAGUGCGGUAGGGGAGAUUGGAAUUCCUGGUGUAGCGGUGGAAUGCGCAGAUAUCAGGAGGAACACCGAUGGCGAAGGCAGAUCUCUGGGCCGUAACUGACGCUGAGGAGCGAAAGCAUGGGGAGCGAACAGGAUUAGAUACCCUGGUAGUCCAUGCCGUAAACGUUGGGAACUAGAUGUGGGGACC
rnacentral:rRNA from 1 species